rnacentral:rRNA from 1 species
CCUACGGGAGGCAGCAGUGAGGAAUAUUGGUCAAUGGACGCAAGUCUGAACCAGCCAUGCCGCGUGCAGGAAGACGGCUCUAUGAGUUGUAAACUGCUUUUGUACGAGGGUAAACGCAGAUACGCGUAUCUGUCUGAAAGUAUCGUACGAAUAAGGAUCGGCUAACUCCGUGCCAGCAGCCGCGGUAAUACGGAGGAUUCCAGCGUUAACCGGAUUUGUUGGGUUUAAAGGGUGCGUAGGCGGUCGGAUAAGUUAGGGGUGAAAUCCCGAGGCCCAACUUCGGAAGUGCCUCGGAUACUGUUCGGCUAGAGAGUAGGUGCGGUAGGCGGAAUGUAUGGUGUAGCGGUGAAAUGCUUAGAGAUCAUGCAGAACACCGAUUGCGAAGGCAGCUUACCAAGCUACUUCUGACGUUGAGGCACGAAAGCGUGGGGAGCAAACAGGAUUAGAUACCCGUGUAGUC